UUGGAGGGCAAGUCUGGUGCCAGCAGCCGCGGUAAUUCCAGCUCCAAUAGCGUAUAUUAAAGUUGUUGCAGUUAAAAAGCUCGUAGUUGAAUUUCGGGAUCAAUACGUCGGUCGUGCUUUUUUGGUACGCACUGGCGUCAUUGGUUUCUCCUUUCUGACGAACCAUGAUGUCAUUAAUUUGGUGUUAUGGGGAGUUAGGACUGUUACUUUGAAAAAAUUAGAGUGUUUAAAGCAGGCAUUAGCUUGAAUACAUUAGCAUGGAAUAAUGAAAUAGGACGUUCGAUCCUAUUUUGUUGGUUUCUAGGAUCAACGUAAUGAUUAAUAGGGAUAGUUGGG
rnacentral:misc_RNA from 1 species